GGAGAGAUGGCCGAGCGGUUUAAGGCGCACGCCUGGAAAGCGUGUUCACGGCAACACGUGUCGGGGGUUCGAAUCCCCCUCUCUCCGCCA
rnacentral:tRNA from 1 species